AUUCCAGCUCCAAUAGCGUAUAUUAAAGUUGUUGCAGUUAAAAAGCUCGUAGUUGGAUUUCUGGUGGGGACGUUUGGCCGGCCGUAACGGUUUGCGCUGAAAUGUUCUUCGCCAUCCUUGACGAAUACUGGUUCGCCAUUAAGUUGUGUGGGCUUGGAGUCGUCAUCGUUUACUGUGAAAAAAUUAGAGUGUUCAAAGCAGGCUUAUGCCGUUGAAUACAUUAGCAUGGAAUAAUAAGAUAGGACCCUGGUACUAUUUUGUUGGUUUGCGUACCUAGGUAAUGAUUAAUAGGGACAGUUGGGGGUAUUUGUAUUCCGUUGUCAGAGGUGAAAUUCUUGGAUUUACGGAAGACAAACUACUGCGAAAGCAUUUACCAAGGAUGUUUUCAUCG
rnacentral:rRNA from 1 species